rnacentral:rRNA from 1 species
CGCAUCUGUGCAUGCAGCAUAUCAAUAAGCGGAGGAAAAGAAACUAACAAGGAUUCCCUUAGUAACGGCGAGUGAAGUGGGAAGAGCUCAAAUUUGAAAUCUUCAAGGUUUUACCUUGACGAAUUGUAGUUUAAAGAAGUGUUUUCUGUUGAAGUUUUGGUAAAAGUUCUUUGGAAUAGGACAUCAUAGAGGGUGAGGAUCCCGUAUUUGACCAUUAUUUUCAGCUGUGUGAUACACUUUCAAAGAGUCGGAUUGUUUGGGAAUGCAGUCCAAAAUGGGUGGUAAAUUUCAUCUAAAGCUAAAUAUUGGCGAGAGACCGAUAGCGAACAAGUACCGUGAGGGAAAGAUGAAAAGAACUUUGAAAAGAGAGUUAAACAGUACGUGAAAUUGUCAAAAGGGAAGCGUUUGACACCAGUGUUGUUUUCUCGAAAAUCAAUUAAAAAGAGUUUGAUUUUGUUGUGUAUUGACCUUAACAGCUUGCAUUUCAAUUUUCUUGCUUUUUUUAAUGCACUUUUCGUUUAACAAGUCAACAUCAGUUUCUUUUGUUGUAAAAAGGUCAUUGGAAGGUGGCUUUCUUUUCGGAGAAAGUGUUUAUAGCCUUUGACUCCUGCAAUCGGAGAGACUGAGGUCUGCAGCGUAGAUCCUUCGGGGUUAGAUACAUUUGUGCUAAGUUAUAGCUUUUUAUAGACAACUUGUUGACUAUGAUUAGUCUUGUAGCUUACUCGCUUAUGCUAUUUUACCUACGCUUAGGAUGUUGAAGACUCUACAGAGAUA